AGGAGAGUUUGAUCCUGGCUCAGGACGAACGCUGGCGGCGUGCCUAACACAUGCAAGUCGAGCGGGGACAUGCGACGGAGCGGAAGUUUUCGGAUGGAAGCGAAGAUGUAUGUUCUAGCGGCGGACGGGUGAGUAACGCGUGAGCAACCUGUCCUUCACAGGGGGAUAACACAGCGAAAGUUGUACUAAUACCGCAUGAGACCACAGCGAGACAUCUCGCAGGGGUCAAAGGAGCAAUCCGGUGAAGGGUGGGCUCGCGUCCGAUUAGAUAGUUGGUGAGGUAACGGCCCACCAAGUCAACGAUCGGUAGCCGACCUGAGAGGGUGAUCGGCCACAUUGGGACUGAGACACGGCCCAAACUCCUACGGGAGGCAGCAGUGGGGAAUAUUGGGCAAUGGGGGGAACCCUGACCCAGCAACGCCGCGUGAGGGAAGAAGGUUUUCGGAUCGUAAACCUCUGUCCUUGGUGAAGAGGAAGAGACGGUAGCCAAGGAGGAAGCCCCGGCUAACUACGUGCCAGCAGCCGCGGUAAUACGUAGGGGGCGAGCGUUGUCCGGAAUGAUUGGGCGUAAAGGGCGCGUAGGCGGCCCGGUAAGUCUGGAGUGAAAGUCCUGUUUUUAAGAUGGGAAUUGCUUUGGAUACUGUCGGGCUUGAGUGCAGGAGAGGUAAGUGGAAUUCCCAGUGUAGCGGUGAAAUGCGUAGAGAUUGGGAGGAACACCAGUGGCGAAGGCGACUUACUGGACUGUAACUGACGCUGAGGCGCGAAAGUGUGGGGAGCAAACAGGAUUAGAUACCCUGGUAGUCCCCU
rnacentral:rRNA from 1 species